rnacentral:lncRNA from 1 species
GCAAAUAAGCUGAUAGUUGUUUUUUCCUAAAAAAAUUCUCUGCAAUUUUGUGAUUAUUGUGUUUAGCAAAUGACAAAGUGUGUUUUUAUCUUAUUAGUAUAACUAUAAAAAGUAAAAGUCUUUAAUUGAACUAAAUUUAUAAGAUUCGUGAAGCCACUUCAUUUGGUUUUUGAUUGAUCUUAAAGGUAUAAUUAUGAUCUACAUAUCUUGGUCAUAGAGAAUUGGCUUAUAAGUUAUUUGGGUAUGAUUAAAAAGGUAUAACACUGGUUACAAAGUUAGCUUAAGUAAUAACUCAAGGCUAGAGUCAUUUUCAAACAAAAGCACCUGGCAUAAAACAGCCCAGAAAACUAGUCCUCUAAAGAUACUUCUAAAUUGAGAUAAAAUUUUGUGUAAUUCUUAUCCUAAAAAAUAGACUUAUAGAGAUAAGAUUUUAAAACAAUGUCUCUUUAAUAAAACAUUAAAAUUUACACUGUCAUGCAUUCAUGAAUGAGCAGCCAAACUUCGUAACGUGAUAGUGAUGUUUCUAAUAUUGAUUUUAAGAAAAAUAAAUUGUUUAAAAUUGGGUCUUACUUUUCAAAAGUUAUAGAUAUAUUCUAAUAUUACAACGGAAACUUAAAAAUUAGGGUUAAAAUUGCCAGUGUUCCAUUGACUGCAGCUUGCAGUUUGAUUACAAAUUUAAGAUCUUUAAUUCACCUGUAUAUUGUAAUUAAGAUAAUUAUAAGAGUAAUCAUCCUUAAGAAAGAGUAUCAAAAAUUAGAGGCAUAGACAGUUAAAUUGUUCCUCUAAAACUGGUCCUUAUUACAGGAGGGCCAAGAUGCUCAGAUUAAAAAAUAUUCUACGUUUAAGUUAAUGUAGCCCAGAGAAGAUUGUGGCCUUCUUUUAUUUUGCAAACAGUGCCUAAGAAAGUUUUUCCCUGUGUUCAAGAAAAGUUCUUUUUAGCUUUGUUACAGAUCUAUUCAAAUGUUUAAAAUAAUGCUUAAAUUCAAAGAGUUUUGCUUUCAGUAAACUGGUGAUCACUAGAUAAUUUUGCCUGUAGGUAUGGCUAACAUAGCUUUACAAUAUGUAUGAAAUUUUUAUUGUCUGCUUCAAUACAAGAAACAAAGUUUAAAUCUUUCAGUGUAUAUUGUUUCCUAAGUGAAAAAAAAGUAUUCUAUUAGCUAAUGCCUCCAAAGAGAAGUUUAAAGUUCUGAAAAGUAAUUGUUGCUCCAUAAGACUUAGAGACAACAUAUUUUUAAUAUUUAAGAUCUUAGUUACAGAAAAUCUAAGAAAGAAAAAUUUAUUUGCUUCAAAAUUUUUAUUUUCAAAACCUCCUAAAGAUGUUUUGUCAACAAUUUAAUGUUACACGUUACUGAGAUACUUUAUAAUACUCAAAGACAAGGUAUUGUAAAACUUUAAAAACUAUACCUUCCUUAAAAACAAAGAAGGGGGGAGAGAAAUUAUAUCCCCGUGCACAUUAUUUGGAUCACAUAUUUGUUUUGGAAAAACUGGAUAGAAUAGUGUCUAGGGCAGAUGAAAAGGAUCCACUUAUUGGCACUUGCCAUGAUCCUGUUCAGAUACUUAAUAUGGGGAAAAGGGGGAAUGUUUCUGUUUUUUCCACAGAAUGCUACAAGAGCAUGCUAGCUUCCAAUGUGACAGGCUGACCUGUGACCUGUGAGUGCCCUGACAGUGGUGACCAGAAAGCUGUGUUGAGUCCACAAAAGAGGAGAAAUCUGAGAGCAGCCACUUACAAACAGAUAAAAAAACUUUAUCUCCACCAUGGGCUGCAGCAAGGAGUACCAACCUGGUGCCAACUUAAAAUACAAACAACUAAAAAAGCUGACUCGUGAGGCAAAAAGACUGGUACAGAGAAUGUACAAGAUGCUUUCGUCAGAGACACUGUUUUUGGUCACUCAGGCCAGCUCCUUAUAGCUAUGAAAGUUUGUGUACCUUACCUAUAUGCUUAUUUAUUGUUUGAUAAUUUUAAGAGUUAAGAUCACCAAUCUUGGCAAGUCUUUUCAUAUUCAUUGUAAUUCUUGUCAAUUAACUAAUUGUGUAGAUCCUAAUUUAGAUAAGGAAUCUACUGUUAUGUUUUUGUUAGAGACCUGCUUAUGCUUUGCUGCCUAUUAGAGUUAGAAAAUGAUCCUUGGUUUUAAAAUCUGAUAAUGCAAACUUUAAAAAGGUAUCUACCACAGCUUUAGAUCAGCAGCUACAUACUGCCCAUUUUGUUAAUGAUAAGCAUAGGAAUAUUUCCAUAGCUUUGUCAGAGCAACAUAUUAUAGAUAAAAAUUUAGAGGCAAAAGACGUCUUAGAAGUCUUAGCAUAGGACAGGAGAUAGCAUCCUAGAAAGUCCUUGAGCUGACCAUGGGCUUAGAAUUCAGGAAGAAAGUUGCCUAUUCAGUGACGUUCAGAAUUGCCUCUGGCAUUACACUAUCACUUUAAUAAAAGCUAGGUCACUGCCUUACACAGGAAUUUAGCAUCAACUAGGAAAAAGGAAGUUUUAGACCUAAAGAGGAACAAGAAUAGAUACUUAGAACUGUAGAUAGCUGAGUUACACCCAUACACAAGUAUUUACAAUGGCCUAGGGGAAAGGUGAACUACCAAAACUGGUUUUCAACCUCCCCCUGGCUUUCGACCUUGUUGCCCUCCCUUUUGGGACCCCUAUUGGAAUUCCUAUUAUUGAUCUCCUUCGGUCCUUGGGCAUUUCAGAAAUUGACCCGAUUUGUUAAAUCUCAAGUUGAUUCAUCUCUUUCAAGUGCAUUUGUUUCAGUUCAUUACCAUCGGCUGGACGUUGGCGAUAACAAGCAGGUUACUGGAGAAGAGGCAGACCCGGGUGCCGCUUCAUCAUCCUCUUCUCGGGGAGAGAGACUCAAUUUCCAUAAAAUGCUUAAGUAAGAUCAUUCCCCUCCCCCUAAAUUUGGCCAUCAGUCUCAUGCCACAAAUCAUUUAUAGAUUGCCGUAGUCUGUGCUUUUCCGACAUGGUAAUAUACGUUCUCGCCACAUUGGAAACUAAACAGUCAUCCCAGGCUAGACACAUCAAAAAAUUAAAACUUGAAGCCGUCGCCCGUGAGAGUUGUAAGUUGUAAGUACUGCACAGAGAUUAGUCUAAAAGCUGUUAGACAGUGUCUGAGAGGCAUGUCUGAUUGCAUAAAGGUUGAGUGCCCCAGGGACCUUUCUCCAGAAAAAACGGCACAGGAGCAGGUCAGGGUUACUCUGGGUAAAAAUCUGUGGGCCUGAGAGUCAAUCCUGUACAUGGCCCCUAACAUUACACACUGGGGAUCAGACCUCUACCUCUACCCACGGAGCUUGCUUCGUUCCUAAAUCCCUUGGCUAGCCCAAGUUAUACCCAACAGACUGGGACCAUUAAUUCAAGCAUCAUAGAUGACUUGUCCUUGUGUCCUUCGUGGUUUUAGAGCAAACAGACAUUUAGAUGAUCGUUAAAAACGUGGCUACAAAUUUAUUAUACAAUAUGCCUUUAUAAAAAUAUUAAAACGGGGGAGCUCCAUACUUUUUCUCCAUUGCCUGACUAUCAGGAUCAAAGAAAACAACAUCUGAAACUGCUUAAAUACAUAUAUCUUUGAUAAAAGUACUGGUUUCUUUGAGAUCUGUUGAGUUGUUGGCUAGUGCCUGGAGCCAAGAUUCACCCAGUAAUUCUGUUGUACAGGGCAAAAGUAACAUUUUAUAUAUUUAAACCAACAUUUAAAAUCUUUUCAGGCUCGAGUAUAGUGUUAGCCUCCCCCAGCCUUGAAGCAGGCUGAUCCAGACUUUGACCUUGCUGCCAGUAAGAAGGAGAUUACCAAGGGUGAAGCCUUCUGACCUAGAGGGCUCUUUUGUUCUGUCACUGGCCACUGCUCUCACCAAGACACUGCUACCUGCUGAGAGACCCCUGAGAUAUUCCGGAGGAACUUCCUAUCCUGCCAGUCACCUGCAGGCUGGCUCCAGGCACCAAGAAUGGACUGGCGGGGGAUGGGUCUUCCCCCUUAUAAGUACACUCUCCUAGUAAACUGGCAGGCCUUGAACAGAAUCAUGUCUUGGUCUCCAUUAAUUUCUCGCGCAGUCUAACUCUCUUUCAGCCCCAGCCUGCCUCCCAGGUGUACCAGGUUCAUGUAGGCCGAGGGCUGGCAUACAACACAUAGCUCUAAUCAUAGAUUGAGAGCCCGGGAUAUGACUGGCUCUGUGAGUCCAAGGCCAGCCUGGAAAAUUAAACU